UACAGGGGGGGCAAGCGUUGUUCGGAAUUACUGGGCGUAAAGGGUCUGUAGGUGGCUUGCUAAGUCAGACGUGAAAUCCCUCAGCUUAACUGGGGAACUGCGUCUGAUACUGGCAAGCUUGAGUGCAGGAGAGGAACGCGGAAUUCCAGGUGUAGCGGUGAAAUGCGUAGAUAUCUGGAGGAACACCGGUGGCGAAGGCGGCAUCCUGGACCAACACUGACACUGAGGAGCGAAAGCCAGGGGAGCAAACGGG
rnacentral:rRNA from 1 species